AAUAAGAUAACUAUAACUUAGAUAAGUAGCUUGUUUUUCAUUGAUAUAAACUUGUGCAUAUAAUGCAAACUUCGUACAAAUGCAUUAGCAAAGCCUAAUAGAUUUUGCAACUCCUAACCUUCGAUACAUAUAGACAAAUGCAUUCCAAAGAAGCUGUAACGGUAAUACAGUUAUAAUCUACACAACUGCAUAACUUUAAGAAUCUAGUAAAGAGAUAUGGCUAUGGAACUAUAAACCCAUCAAAUAAACAACACAGAUGUUGCUUAAACACGGGUGCUGGUGGGUUGACCACUUCCAGUUCCCUGUCGCUUCCCCUUCAGAUAUAGAAACCUUAUCACGUGGAAGACUAUAGUAACCAAUAUCUUGAGCAACCAAAACAGAAGUCGACGGGCACAAAGUAAAAUAAUAAUUGCUAGUAAUCCAAACCAAAACACUAUAUAGUACAAAAGAAUCUCACUGUUAAACCUUUCUUGCUUUGACCCUCCUCCAACUAAUAUGAUUGAGAGCAUGUAAGUGGCAGCCAUGAAAAUUACUGUGAUGCUUAUGGUUAUAAGCAUAAUCCACAUAGAAAACCUAUUUUUGAGAGGAAGAACAGUAAGCAGAAAGAUUAUGCUCAGAGAUGCUGAGAAUGCGAUGGUGUUGCAGAUAAUAAAUUCUUGGCUGUUAAACUUUUGGAUGCAGGUUAUUGCUAAUUUUCUUAUUUCGAUUACCCCUUUAUUUGUGAUUGUAUCCCUUAUCAUUCCAGCUGUGCAUACUUUUUCUUGGGAAUCAUUUUUCCAGAGUUCACUUGGUGGGUUGACUGCAGCUUGGAAAGCCAUGGAUGCAAUAACAGUAGCCACUAUCAUUAAAUGGCCUCGUGUCUUCUCCAACUGGCUACUUUGGUAAUCUAGGUAUUUAUCCCACUUACUAACAGAAACUUUUGCUGGAG
rnacentral:lncRNA from 1 species